rnacentral:rRNA from 1 species
AACGAACGCUGGCGGCAUGCCUAACACGUGCAAGUCGAACGAGACCUUCGGGUCUAGUGGCGCACGGGUGCGUAACGCGUGGGAACCUGCCCUUAGGUUCGGAAUAACUCCCCGAAAGGGGUUCUAAUACCGGAUAAUGUCUUCGGACCAAAGAUUUAUCGCCUUUGGAUGGGCCCGCGUUGGAUUAGCUAGUUGGUAGGGUAAAAGCCUACCAAGGCGACGAUCCAUAGCUGGUCUGAGAGGAUGAUCAGCCACACUUGGACUGAGACACGGCCCAGACUCCUACGGGAGGCAGAAGUGGGGAAUAUUGGACAAUGGGAGAAAGCAUGAGCCAGCAAUGCCGCGUGAGUGAUGAAGGCCUUAGGGUUGUAAAGCUCUUUUACACGGGAUGAUAAUGACAGUACCGGGAGAAUAAGCUCAGGCUAACUCCGUG